UACGUAGGGUGCGAGCGUUGUCCGGAAUUACUGGGCGUAAAGAGCUCGUAGGUGGUUUGUCGCGUUGUUCGUGAAAACUCACAGCUUAACUGUGGGCGUGCGGGCGAUACGGGCAGACUGGAGUACUGCAGGGGAGACUGGAAUUCCUGGUGUAGCGGUGGAAUGCGCAGAGUAUCAGGAGGAACACCGGUGGCGAAGGCGGGUCUCUGGGCAGUAACUGACGCUGGAGGAGCGAAAGCGUGGGGAGCGAACAGG
rnacentral:rRNA from 1 species